UAAUUCGAGAUAUUCGUCUAUAUCCCAAGGGAUUGGCCGUUUAGAGCGUUUAUUGACUUUAUCAGUCUGUUCUUAUUGCCUUCAUAGUUAGAUUUCGUUAAUGGGAAUUAGUCUGGGCUAGCUUUGCUUGAGGAUUUCUAUCACGGGAGUGAAUUAAUCUGUUGUUGAACCUGUUGUCUAGGGAUAGCUUGAUUGCGCUUGUUAACCAUUCGAAUAGGCUAGGAUACCACUCUAUUCGAUUACCCCAUCCUUAUGAAUUUCUCUUCUAUCUGAUUUCUCUAUUUUAUCGUUAUCACUUAAUCGUUCUUAUUGUCUAGUUCUUAGUUUUUGCGAUUACUCGAUCAACUUACUCGACCACACCUAGUGUCUGGCAACAGACUGUGCAGUCGAGUAUAGUUGUCUCAUUUCCUGUUUGUUACUCGACCAGUAUACUCGACCACACCCAGUGUCUGGCAACAAACUGUGCAGUCGAGUAUAUCUGUUUCAUAUCCUGUCUGUUACUCGACCACAUCCUACUUCUGGCAUCAGCCUAUUGUGGUCGAGUGAUUUUAGUAAUUCUGUUAUUGUUUCUGUUUUCUGCAUGUUCGCUUAGGAUUGUUAGAAACCCCAAAACUGUUAUUGCUUGGCUUGACUUAGUGACUUCUGAUCACAUCUCAUCUGUUUGCAUCACUCCCAUUUGGAUUGACACCCUAAGUACUACAACGACAUGAUAGUGCUUUAGGAUUAAUUGACUUAAAAACCUAUUAUCAAUUUGGCGUCAUUGCCAAUUGGGUGUUUGUUUGCUAUAUUUGAGAUUUCAGAAUAUUUAAGAUCAAGUUCUUUUUCAUUUUUACUGAAAGUUACCAACUAUGUAUUUUUUCUGUUUGUCUGUUUUGAUUCAGGUACUGCGAAUCACCAGCUUCACCAGUUGGUACUCGUUGUAUGCAAACACGGUCACAAGGAAAUCAGAAUCUCCUAUUCAAUGAUAACAUCGACCGUAUUGCACGCCAACUCAGAACACAGACAGAAACAGACACAAUGGCUGCAGUUGUAGAUGAGCAAGUGCAGCCAAACAACAUCGGUGCAGGCGAUGCACCACGCAACCACAAUCAGCGUAUUGGCAUCGUGCCUCCACCAGUGCAGAACAACAACUUUGAGAUCAAGAGCGGUCUCAUUGCCAUGGUUCAGAGCAACAAGUUCCAUGACCUCUCUAUGGAGGAUCCACUCGAUCACUUGGACGAGUUUGAUAGGCUCUGCAGCCUAACAAAGAUCAAUGGAGUUAGUGAGGAUGGCUUUAAGCUCAAAUU
rnacentral:sRNA from 1 species